UGGCGGCGUGCUUAACACAUGACAAGUCGAACGAGGAAUUGCGAAGAGUUUCGGAUGGAUUUGCUUUCCGAGUGGCGACGGUGAGUAACGCGUGGGUAACCUGCCUUACACUGGGGGACAACAGAGAGAAAUUUCUGCUAAUACCGCAUAACCCGCUAUGAGCGCAUGCUCAAGACGGAAAGAUUUAUCGGUGUAAGAUGGACCCGCGUCUGAUUAGCUGGUUGGUGAGGUAACGGCCCACCAAGGCGACGAUCAGUAGCCGAACUGAGAGGUUGACCGGCCACAUUGGGACUGAGACACGGCCCAGACUCCUACGGGAGGCAGCAGUGAGGAAUAUUGGUCAAUGGGCGAGAGCCUGAACCAGCCAAGUAAGCGUGCAGGAUGACGGCCUAUGGGUUGUAAACUGCUUUAUACGGGGAUAAAGUGAGGGACGUGUCCUUUUGUAGGUACCGUAUGAAUAAGGACCGGCUAAUUCCGUGCCAGCCGCUGC
rnacentral:rRNA from 1 species